rnacentral:rRNA from 1 species
GACGAACGCUGGCGGCGUGCUUAACACAUGCAAGUCGAACGAAGUGGCGAACGGGUGAGUAACGCGUAAUCAAACUGCCCUUCAGAGGGGGACAACAGUUGGAAACGACUGCUAAUACCGCAUACAGAAGGAGGGGAUUGCGUCUGAUUAGCUAGUUGGAGGGGUAGCGGCCCACCAAGGCGAUGAUCAGUAGCCGGACUGAGCGAAUGAGCGGCGACAUUGGGACUGGGACACGGCCCAGACUCCUACGGGAGGCAGCAGGGGGGAAUCUUCCGCAAUUGACGAAAGUCUGACGGAGCAACGCCGCGUGAGUGAUGACGGCCUUCGGGUUGUAAAGCUCUGUUAAUCGGGACGCGGUACCGGAAUAGAAAGCCACGGCUAACUACGUGCCAGCAGCCGCGGUAAUUC